UCCUCGUUAGUAUAGGGGUGAGUAUCCCCGCCUGUCACGCGGGAGACCGGGGUUCGAUUCCCCGACGGGGAG
rfam:Cricetulus griseus cell line CHO-K1, whole genome shotgun sequence.